rnacentral:rRNA from 1 species
UUAAGCAUAUCAGUAAGCAGAGGAAAAGAAAACAACUGUGAUUCCCUUAGUAACUGCGAGUGAAGCGGGAAAAGCCCAUCGUUUAAUCUUCCCGGACCAUGGACGGGACGAAAUGUAACGGUAUGGAUAGGUUCUCUACCAACUAUGUCUGAUCAAAGUCCUCCGGAUUGAGGUGCCAAAGAGGGUGACAGCCCCGUGUGUGAUUGGAUGGCGUUGGGUAUGUGACCGAUUCCGAGAGUCGGGUUGUUUGGGACUGCAACCUAAAGCAGGUGGUAAACUCCACCCAAGGCUAAAUAUUGACACGAAACCGAUAGCGAACAAGUACUGUGAAGGAAAGUUGAAAAGAACUCUGAAAAGAGAGUUAAAAGUACGUGAAACCGCUAACGGGGAAGCGGAAGGCAGUGUCGAGAUUGAGUGAGUGAGUUGGUUCAAGUGCGUUUGGUGUGUCGUGUUGGCGGUGUGUAAUGUGCGCUUGGAUCGGCUAGCUUUGCUUGAUGCGUCAGGACUAUUGGUGUGCGACGGUUCAAUCGUCAGCAUGGCUGUCACGGAACACUCAAAUGUUUCGUGGUUGCGGCUGGUGAUCCGCCUCGUGUGCUGAUAUGUAUGUGAUGGAGCGUUGGUGAUGUAUGGUCGGUUGGUGCUGUGCGGCGUUUCGUGCUGGUCACAUUGUGGCUACGUGCGGAAAAGUCGUGUGGUAGUUCAACAACCAGUGCUAGCUCCUGACGUGAUACCUAACUUUCCGACCCGUCUUGAAACACGGACCAAGGAGGCAGAAUCUAGAGCGAGUUGGAGGGUGCAAAACCCGACGGCGCAGUGAAAGCGAGAGAUGAGAUCCGGGGGUCUCGGCCCUCGGAGCAUCAUCGGCCAGUCACUCUGUGAUUGAGUUUGAGCUGUAGAUGCUGGACCCGAAAGAUGGUGAACUAUGCGUGAGCAGGGCGAAGCCAGAGGAAACUCUGGUGGAGGCUCGAAGCGAUUCUGACGUGCAAAUCGAUCGUUUGACUUGCGUAUAGGGGCGAUAGACUAAUCGAACCAUCUAGUAGCUGGUUCCCUUCGAAAUAUCCCUCAGGAUCGCUGAGACAAGUGGGAGACAGUUUCAUCGGGUAGAGCGAAUGAUUAGAGGAAUCGGGGAUAUAUUACUCUCGACCUAUUCUCAAACUUCCAACCGGUGAGAGUGCUGUUUACUUGAUUGAAACGGGCACGCGGAAUGUCUUUGUCUCAAGUGGGCCAUUUUUGGUAAGCAGAACUGGCGAUGCGGGAUGAACCGAGAGUUGAGCUAAGGUGCCUAACGACACGUUGAUAGAUACCACAAAAGGAGUCGGUCGAUAAAGACAGCAGGGCGGUGGCCCUGAAAGUAGGAAUCCGCUAAGGAAUUGUCUAAAAACUCACCUGCCGAAUCGACCGGCCCUGAAAAUGGAUGGCGCUGAAGCGUGUGACCGAUGCUCGACCUCUACCACGAGAGAUGUUGGUAGGGGGUAGAAGGGCGCGGCGGUAGCGACAAAGUACAAAGUGUAAACUUGUAUGGAGCUGCCGUCGGUGUAGAUCUUGGUGGUAGUAGCAAUUAUAAAAGUGAAAACCUUUUAGGCCGAAGUGGAGAAGGGUUCCACGUGAACAGCAGUUGGACGUGGGUUAGUCGGUCCUAAGCGGUUGCCUAACGGCUAGUGAAAAGCCAACUUAUGGUCGCACUUGUGUGGCUAAAUAUAAUAGGUUGGAAUCCGCGAAAGGGAAUCAGGUUAAUAUUCCUGAACCGGGCUAUGGAGACGCUGCCUUGUGCGUUAUUGCCAAUUCGUUGGUGGUGGCGUUGGGGUAGCUUAGCGGUAACGCAAACAAUCUCGGAGACGUUGACAUCUAUGGCGGGGAGAAUUAUCUUUUCUGCAUAACAGGUAAAUCACCUUGGAAUCGAGUCAUUCGGAGAUAAGGUAAAAAGCCUGGAAGAGCACCGCAACUAUUGCAGUGUCCGCAGUGUAGGUGUCGGCCCUUGAAAAUCCGAGGGAGUGGAUAAAUUUCAUGCCCGUCCGUACCGAAUCCGCAUCAGGUCUCCUAGGUGAGCAGCCUCUGGCACUGGAACAAUGUAGGUAAGGGAAGUCGGCAAAAUAGAUCCGUAACUUUGGGAAAAGGAUUGGCUCUAAGGGCCGGGCCAAUCGAGCUAGUAUUGCCUAGGCUAGUGGGGGCUUGACUGGGUUUGCUCGGGGGCAACUCUGAGUAGGCUUGGUCUUGCAAACGCUGGCCAUGGAAUGCCGGCGUGAAUUUCGGUCGGCUGAGCGGCCGCAAGGUUUGUUCAGUUGAUGGGGUUCUUUACGAGUGGCAAGCAUCGGUCAGCUUAGAACUGUUACCAACUUGGGGAAUCCGACUGUUUAAUUAAAACAAAGCAUUGCGAUGGCCGGAAACGGUGUUGACGCAAUGUGAUUU